rnacentral:rRNA from 1 species
GCUCUAGGGUGGAAAUCAAACUAGGCUGUAAAAAGCCAUAAGCCACACUAACCAUCACCCUACACCACACACCAAUUUAACUCGAUAAAGCUAGGACAUAAACUAGGAUUAGAUACCCUACUAUACCUAGCCACAACACACAAUUAAAUUACCAAUUGUUCGCCAAACAACUACGAGUAGUAACUUAAAACUUAAAAGACUUGACGGUACUUCACUACAACCUAGAGGAGCCUGUCUAAUAACCGACAACCCACGAUUAACCCAACCCCAUCUGGCCAACAGUCUAUAUACCACCGUCGCAAGCUCACCUUGUGAAAGAACUACAGUGAGCCCAACAGUUUCACACUAACACGACAGGUCGAGGUGUAACUCAUGAUGGGGUCACAGAUGGGCUACAUUCUCUUACUAGAGAAUACGGAUAACACUAUGAAUAUAGUGCUUAAAGGAGGAUUUAGCAGUAAGAUGGGGAUAAAACACCCAACUGAACAUUACGCAAUGAAGUGCGUACACACCGCCCGUCACCCCUGAACCAUCUAUUAAAAAAAUUCAUAAA